UUCGCCCGCCCUGCCCCUCGCCUGCUUCAGAAGCUUCCAGGAACUCCCGGGUCGGCGACCCAGCCCGAGCCGCCUGGGGCCCCAAGGGAAGCUGAACGCCCUGUGGGCUCCUGGGAUGGUUCUUCCCGUUCUUUGCGCCGCCUUCACCCAUUGAAGAGCCUGUGCCCACCCUGCCCAGUCGCUCUCGGGGCCGCGGAGGAGCUUCCGCUGCCAUCUUCGGAUCCUGUGUUCCGCACGGGGGCUCCACCAGGGCAGGGAUGGUGCAGAAUGGGGAAAUGGAGAGAGAACCUGAAAGAGCCCCAAACUCGAGGACCUAUUGCUCCCCAAGAAUAACAUCUUCCAGAAGAACUAGACAGAAAACUAGGCGUCUGGGAACUCUGAAAUCCUUGGAGGAGUAGCAUCAUCAUGACCCUCUGUGUUCCUUUUGGCAAAGGACUUGCUCCCAUUGUUUGCUUGUUCCAUUGUCUGUCUGUUAAAUAAAUAAAACCCUUUUCAUAUAUCUUUAAACUUA
rnacentral:lncRNA from 1 species